rnacentral:rRNA from 1 species
AGGAUAAACGCUGGCGGCGUGCCUAACACAUGCAAGUCGAACGCGCUUUCGGGCUUCGGUGCGAGAGCGAGUGGCGGACGGGUGAGUAACACAUGGGUACCUGCCUUUCAGUGAGGGAUACCGGCGAGAAAUCGCCGACAAUACCGCAUGGGCUUGUGGGAACACAAGCAAAGUGGCGCAAGCCACGCUGGAAGAUGGGCCUGUGGCCGAUUAGCUAGUUGGGGGGGUAAUGGCCUCCCAAGGCGACGAUCGGUAGCUGGUCUGAGAGGACGAUCAGCCACACUGGGAUUGAGAACGGCCCAGACUCCUACGGGGGCAGCAGUGAGGAAUUUUCCGCAAUGGACGAAAGUCUGACGGAGCAACGCCGCGUGCAGGAGGAAGGUUUUCGGAUCGUAAACUGCUUUUCUCGGGGACGAGCAAGGACGGUACCCGAGGAAGAAGCCCCGGCUAACUACGUGCCAGCAGCCGC